GACGAACGCUGGCGGCGUGCUUAACACAUGCAAGUCGAACGAAGUGGCGAACGGGUGAGUAACGCGUAAUCAACCUGCCCUUCAGAGGGGGACAACAGUUGGAAACGCCUGCUAAUACCGCAUACGGAAGGAGGGGAUUGCGUCGGCUUGGCUAGGUGGAGGGGUAACGGCCCACCAAGGCGAUGAUCAGUAGCCGGUCGUGGAGGAGGAACGGCCAAAUUUGGACUGAGACACGGCCCAGACUCCUACGGGAGGCAGCCGUGGGGAAUCGUCCGCAAUGGACGAAAGUCUGACAGAGCAACGCCGCGUGAGUGAUGACGGCCUUCGGGUUGUAAAGCUCUGUUAAUCGGGACGCGGUACCGGAAUAGAAAGCCACGGCUAACUACGUGCCAGCAGCCGCGGUAAUUC
rnacentral:rRNA from 1 species